rnacentral:rRNA from 1 species
AUGGCGGAGGAACCGUCCGCCAACCGUCAUCAUGCCGAGACGUCAGACAAGAGGAGCAACCUCGUCGACAUUAACGUCCCCGCCGAGAAGCGCAACUACACCAGAACGCUCGAAGGGGUUGAGCUCCAUGGCAAGGAGACGCUGGAGAUCGUCUGCACCAGCGAACCAGACAAGGCCUAUGAGAUGAUGAGCAGGCUCAGGAUGAAGGGAGGCGGCUUGUAUCCGAGCUUCAUUGGAGUUGAUGUGGAGUACACCGACGAGGAAAAACCUCCACAGAUGGCGGCAGUCCUGCAGUUGUGCGUCGAGGAACUCUGCUUGGUGUACCACAUCGCAGCGGCCACACAAUGGCCCAAGCACCUCAAAGACUUCCUGCAGGAGGAGAAAUUGUACACAUUUGUCGGUUUCAGCAUUGGAGGUGACAAGCGGAAGAUGGAGAAGUCUGGUGUGGAAAUCAACCCCAACAACUUCAUCGACAUGCAACACAAGUGGAAAGAUCCAAAGACCGACAAAUACUACGACUCCUUGGCCGAUGUUGCAGGCGGCGUCAUCCACCCAUUCUACGAAGGCAUGAAGAAGAAGAUGAAUAGGUAA